AAUUUGCAUCUUGGACGCUGUUGAGCACUCUUCAAAUCUACAAAAGCACCGUUUAUCGAAGCUCCCGAAGAAGCGACGACGUCGCGAAACAUGUCGAGCUGAACCCCAUUUUUAACCAGAACUCAUCCUGUACCAUCUUUUUGAAGUUACAACGCCACCCAGCGCCUAUAGUGUAUUCUAUACAUCUAGCCCUGUGGCUAAUAGCGGUGUCUUUAGAAAGUGAUAGGAUUUGAGCUCUUUUGUGUACUUUAUUGUUCAUUUUGUUCUUUUUUUCUUAUUAUUUUGAGCAAUUGUCUUGUAUACCCAUGUUUUGUAUUGUCUAAAUUAAAAUAUUUAUAUUCUUAAA